GCAGCCUGCAACUCGGCUGCAUGAAGCUGGAAUCGCUAGUAAUCGCAGAUCAGAAUGCUGCGGUGAAUACGUUCCCGGGUCUUGUACACACCGCCCGUCACACCAUGGGAGUUGGGAAUGCCCGAAGUCAGUGACCCAACCGCAAGGAGGGAGCUGCCGAAGGCAGGCUUGAUAACUGGGGUGAAGUCGUAACAAGGUAAC
rnacentral:rRNA from 1 species